rnacentral:tRNA from 1 species
CAGGCUAAUAUCUUAGGGGUAAUAUUAUUUACAAUAAUAUUUUGUUUGUGCAAUUCAUACUGGUCUGA